rnacentral:rRNA from 1 species
CCUACGGGUGGCUGCAGUGGGGAAUAUUGGACAAUGGGGGGAACCCUGAUCCAGCCAUGCCGCGUGUGUGAAGAAGGCCCUCGGGUUGUAAAGCACUUUCAGUGAGGAAGAACGCCUGGUGGUUAAUACCCAUCAGGAAAGACAUCACUCACAGAAGAGGCACCGGCUAACUCCGUGCCAGCAGCCGCGGUAAUACGGAGGGUGCGAGCGUUAAUCGGAAUUACUGGGCGUAAAGCGCGCGUAGGUGGCUUGAUAAGCCGGUUGUGAAAGCCCCGGGCUCAACCUGGGAACGGCAUCCGGAACUGUCAAGCUAGAGUGCAGGAGAGGAAGGUAGAAUUCCCGGUGUAGCGGUGAAAUGCGUAGAGAUCGGGAGGAAUACCAGUGGCGAAGGCGGCCUUCUGGACUGACACUGACACUGAGGUGCGAAAGCGUGGGUAGCAAACAGGAUUAGAUACCCUAGUAGUC